rnacentral:lncRNA from 1 species
GGGAGCGCGAAGGGGCCUUAAAGUGGGCGUGACGGCGAAUUGCAAUGGCCGAUUGGUGUAAAGGGGGCGUUUGAGCCAGCGAGAGUGAGGCCCGGAGACUUGUUUUCCCCCCGGGCCGGAGGGGAAGCUCGUUUUCGGUGGAGUGCGUGUCACGGAGAGGCCGGGAUCGCUUUGUCCCUUGCUGCCGGAGACAAACUGCCGCUUGUCUUGUGUUUCCUCAGAGAUAGACAGAAGAUCAUCCCCAGCCGUAGCCGGAGGGAGAGUGCGGGGAGUGGGGGGGGAGGAUGUCGUGACCAAGGGCCCGAUCCAAAGCCCGGGGAACCGAAUGGGGAACCUUUCCAUCGACUUCAGCGGCCUCAGGAUCAGGCCUCGGGCAAAAUGAGGCAGGGGAUCAGCUGAUCAUACAGAGAUCAGGAAGGGGAUUCCAACAACCCAUGUGACAACACUGUCAACCUGGUGCAAUAGGGAAGGUUCCUCCUUUAAUUGGUGCCAUCAGACUUUGGCUGCUGGAAGGGACUGUGGCCUGA